rnacentral:tRNA from 2 species
GGGUGGUUAGCUCAGCUGGUAGAGCAACUGGUUUACACCCAGUAGGUCGGCGGUUCGACCCCGUCACCACCCACCA